rnacentral:pre_miRNA from 1 species
CAUUUCCAGACUGUGGUUUGGGCAGAUACUACAUUUUAGGAUCAGUAUUGCACAUUCCCCAGCCUGGAAA